GCAAAGCCCCCGGUUUCUGAACGUAUUUCACAAACAAUUAAACCGAAUAAACUAUAAUUCUAUAAACAGUUUUAAAAGAAUUCGGUAACCUAGUAACAUAGUAUGUUCACGUAUAGAAACCUAAAUAGAUUAAACGUCUUCAUUUGUAAGUAUACUUCGGUACGGGGUUUUUUUUUUUUUUUUUUAAUAUUGGCUAUUUGCGAAUUUAUAUUUAACACUAAUAUUCAACUGUUAUCGAAAUGAUAACCAUGGUGCGAACAAUAUUUGUUUAUCUCGUUGUCAACCAAAUCAACAGCCGUCAACUAUGUGCUUGUACCACGGACAGACGACAGGGAUAUAUAAGUCGUAUUAAACUUACGUUUAAACGGUUUAAAAUCGCAUUACGAUAAAAAUGUUUUUGUUUUUUACCACCGUGUAACCGAUGGACAACAGAAAUAAA